UGAAUAAAACGUAAAGGUGGGUUACUAAAACUUAAGCUUAGAAACUCAUAAUAGAGAACUGAAAUUGAUGUCCUCAUGAUAGCGACCACUGGGAAAGAGCGCGCCGGUCUUCAAAGAACGAAUAGAAACAAGCCGAAGACUCUUGUUUGUUGACUUGAAGUUACUUCCUAUCCUAAGAACCAAAGAACCAAUUUAGCAGAGACCUCAAAGCUCGCACAACCUUAAGCCGGUACUUCCAUCAGCUCCAGCUAUAUCGU
rnacentral:lncRNA from 1 species